UCUAGACCAAUUUAGAAGCUCCUUGAGUCCAAAGAUGGUUGAGGCUUUGAUUUGCUCUUCAGAUUGGUUGAGAUCAAGCUCAUUGUUCAUGAAUGAUGAAGAAGAUAUUUCUGAAACUGAACAAGAGAAUGAAUUUGGAAUGGUGAUGGGUUCACUUGGUUCUGGAGAGGUGAAUGCCACAGCAAGUGCACCCGUGCAAAGUCGUACCGGCCCCUCUAGCUCGAGAGCUUGAUUUAUGUUGAUCAUGUUUUUGAACUUAUGAAUUACUAGAUGUUUGCUCGUGUUGAACUUAUAUUUUUAUUCAUAUUGUUGAACUUGUGUUUUUAUUCAUGUUGGUGAACUUGGUAUGUUGACAGGUUGAAUUUAGUUGGCUAGUUAAUUUGAGUUAUUAUGCAUCGUUGUCGUGUCGUUAUUUUGUUUUUUUUUUCUUUCUUAAAUCGAUUCUUAGCUAAAAUAAAAUUAUGAUAUAUUUAAUGUA